GCCUUUGUAGCUCAGUUGGUUAGAGCGCUGCACCGGAAUCGCAGGGCCGUAGGUUCAAUUCCUACCAGAGGAC
rnacentral:tRNA from 1 species